rnacentral:lncRNA from 1 species
CUUCAUAUGGCCGACCAAAGGAAGAACAAAGGAAGCAAAGAAAGAACAAGAACCCUAGGGUGAAAAUUCAAGAGAAAAUUGGUGGAUUUCAAGUAAUCAAGCAAUCAAAGGUAAAAUUUAUUGAUUUUGACUUGUGAUCUACCUUUCCCAUGCAGUAUUUUGCAUUUUCCAUGGUUGAAUCACAAGAUAUCAUGAAGGAUUCAUGGCUGACCGAAUUUAGAGAGAGAAGAUUUGAUGAUUUAUUUGGUUAGAUUUUGAGAUAUUUUAGUGUUUUUAGUUGAUUUAUCAUGUUUGGAAGGAAAACAAGUAAGAAAAAUCACAUGUUCUUCAUGGAUUCUUCAUUGGCCGAAUUUCAUAAAGACAAUAUUGAAGAUGAAUCUUGUGAUGUCUUAUGUUAUUUAGUUAGAAUUUAAUGAAUUGUGGUGGUGGAAACCGAAAAUGGUAAUGUUUAGCAUGAAAAAAUCGUAUACCCUUCAAGAACCUCCAUUGGCCGAAUCUUUCCUAUGGUGUGUUGAUGGUGGAUUUGAUUUUAUUUAAAGUGAAUUGGUUAGGAAAUGAUGAAUUAUGGUGAGAAAAUCAAGUAGGAAAAAUCAUAGUGUUGAUGCACCCACCAUAGCCGAAUUUUUCAAGAGAAAAUGUGAGGAUGAUUUUACCAUAUUUCAAGUUAUUUAAUUUGUGUUUGAUGAUUUGGAGUAUUGGGAGAAAAAUGGAAUUAUUUGGAGUUGAAUUCGACGUAUUGGCCAAUUAAUUAGGUGAUAGAUCGAAUUAGGCCAAUACUGUUUUAUUUAGGUACAUAAUUGAAUUUGUGUAGGACACCGUGUUCAGACGAUAAUCCAAACAAUUUGCAUUCCAUUUCAUGCAUUAGUCAAGAGCCUGAAAUAGAUUUAUAAUGAUAUGACACAGUAUAUUGAAUUAUGUGUCGUGUAUUGUAUAUAGGUGGUGAGCCCUCUAACAAGGGUAAAGACAUUGUGUUAGAGGAUUGAGAAUAGGAGUAUUUCAAACUCCUGAUAUAGUGAGUAACCUUACUAUCGUCUUAAUUAUCUAAAAUGGUUUUUAUCCGAUUUUGUGAUUUUAUGGAAAAUGAGUUUAAAUGGUAAAUCUUUAUGUGUUAUAAAUAAAAUGUGUUUAAAUGAAAUGAUUUUAUAAAUUGUCUUGACAUUGAAUGACGGUUUUGAAAAUAAAGUAAUUGGAGACCAUUUUAUGUAUUGGGAAUUUAUGGUUCUAAUUGAUUGGCUUAUGACAAUAUUGGCAUGAAUGGCUGAAUUGGUAUUUGUGUUGAAAAUGUAUAAACUGUUGUUUGCCUUGAUAGGCUAGAUAAUGAUAAAAUUGCCAUGUCAUGCUAUUGAAUUUUAUUGAAUUGGUGGGUUAUUGAUAAGUCGCUGUAGUGGACGGGUUCUGUGGACUAGCCUAUUAGAGGGGGCACGAUAACCCUAUUAUAUUCUUACCUCAGUAUGAGAGGCGCAGAUGGAUAACUCCUGAGGUUAACACUUUAGAGUUCACUUCACGCCAAACCACCACGUGAGGGUGAAAUCAGCCAACGCCAAGGAACGGCUAUGUUUUCAAAAAUAAAAACAUGAUUUUAUGCGUACAUAACUUUUUAACAACCUUGGCGGACUCGGUUGGGAUAGCCCUCGGCCAAGGUAUCCCUGAUAACUGAGUAUGAGAAUGAUUUUGGCACAAGCCAAAGUUUUAAGAAAUUCAUAAGCCAUGUUGACUACACGAUUUAUAUAAAUUGAUUUUAUUUAGUUGAAAUGAGUUGCAAGGUGAUGAAUUACAGUUUGAUAAACUAUUUUAUCUGUCUCCAUUUACUCAGCUUUAGAUAUUUUAGAUGGUAUUUGUUUACUCAUUGGGAUUAUAUAAUCUCACCACCCUUCUUUCCACCCGUUUUAGGCUCAGGAUAGUCAGUAGAUAACUCACUUUGUUGAGGGCUACAGUUGGACUUGCAUCCUUAAAAAUUGUAGGUUUACCGUUUUUGAUACUUUUGGUCGUUCGUGGGCCCACGUGUCACUGUCAAUUAAAUUUUAUACUUUGGUUAUCUGUAUUACAGUAUGUAUGAAUUUAUUUAACUUUUACGCUAUAAAAAUUAUUUACCGGUAACUCUAUAAAUAUUGUUUUAUAAGAAAAUAGAAUAUUUUAUUGAAUAUUUUUAUUAUAUUCAAAUAGUUAUAAUUUCACUUUAAAUGAAAGUUUAGAUAUCUAAACUUAUUUUUUAUUAUGAAAUAUGUGAUUUCCAAUCGCAUACUACAUUUUUAGCUAGUUUUGAAAUUUUUAGGAAAAAUGACCAAAAUGCCCCUACGAGAAAAAAAUUAUUUUUCUAUUAUUUUGAUUUGGAAAUAGUUUAUAAUCUCUCAAAACAUGAUUUUAGUAACUAAUACUCAUAGGGGAAGCGAGAAAAACUAAUGUUAAGCCUUACAAGGUUUCGAUUGACAUUCCGAGUAAUGAAUGUCUAUCGGGACGUCGCGGCGGUUGUCACGAGCUCGAUGGGAGUUCUGGGUUGUGAAACUUACCUUUACCUCCAUUAACUAAAUCCAUUUUACAGCAACUAUCUGUAUAGGGAUACUAAGUUACAUUGAACAAAUUAAACACUACUUCCUCUUUCCCAACCUUGAAAGUUAUUUUGCCAUUCUUCACAUCAAUAAUUGCUCCAACUGUAGCUAAGAAUGGUAUUCCCAAAAUAAGACGAAUUUCAACAUUAUCUUCAAUCUCGAGCACAAUGAAGUCUACCGAAAUGUAUAUAUGCCCAACUUUAUGCAAAAAAUCAUCUAUAAUCCCAACUUGGUGCCUCAUUGUUCUAUCUACUAAUUACAAGGUAACUAUAGUAAGUUGUAUCUCUUUAAAUCCAAGUUUUCUAGCAAUAGACAAAGACAUUAUUGAAACACUAGCGCCCAAAUCACACAAAGCUUUAGAAAUUUAAAAACUACCAAUAGUGCAAGGAAUAGAAAAACUCCUUAAAUCCUUAAGUUUUCGUGGAAACUUAUUUUGGAUUAUAACACUGCACUCCUUAGUAAGUGUAAUUGUCUCAAAAUCUUCCAAUUUCUUUUUUUGGUUAGGAUGUCUUACAAGAAUUUAAAAUAACUUGGCAUUUGUUCAAAAGCUUCAGCAAAAAGAAUAUCAAUGUGUAGCUUGUUAAAUACCUCAAGAAAUCUUUGGAAGUGGUUGUCAAGUUUUUGCUUUUGAAAAUGUUGAGGAAAAGGUGAUGGAGGUGUGGAAGUAGGUUUUAAUUAUGAUUUUUCUUCUUUUGAAUUUUUAGUAAAUUGUUUAACCACAAUUUCUUUUCUAGCAUCUUUUUCAAUUUCUUUUUAUCAGAUUGAAUUGAAAUUUCAGAAUUCAAAGCUUUAUUACUUACCUUUUUUCCAUUAUGGAGAGUGAUUUCCAUACAAUGUUCUUUAAUUCUCUUUUUAGGUUGGGUUCAGUAUCACUUGGUAAGGUAUCAUGAGGUCUAGCUUGUAAAGCACUGGCAAGUUGACCCAUUUGUGUCUCAAGAUUUCUAAUUGAAGCUACUUGAUUUUGAAUGGAGGCAUAAGUCUUUCUCAUAAACGCAUCAGUCUUUGUCAUGAAUGCAUUAGUCUUUGUCAUGAAUUGCAUGAACAUAUCCUCCAUUGAAGGCUUUUUCUCUGGCAUGGGGGCUUUAAAUGGAAAUCCAAGAGGAAAGUUUGAUUUAAAUGCUGAUAAAGACCUUUAGUUUUUAUUCCAUGAAAAAUUAGGAUGAUUCCUCCAACCAAGAUUAUAAAUGUUGGAACAAGGAUUGUUUUGUUGCCUAUUUCCAACAAAUUGACAAUACUCAAAAUAGAUGGGACAAUUGUCAUUGGAAUGUCCUUCCCCACAAAAUUCAUAUGUAAUAAAGGAGUCCUGAACAACAUUAACACUCAUUUUAUCUAUUUUCUUUGUGAGAGAACCAAUUGUAUAGAAACAGCAUUUAUCACAUCUAAUUCAUGAAUUCUAGCAAUUUUUCUUAUACCCAAUUUUUUAAGUGGC